CAACAUCGCUGUCCUAUUCCGCUGCCGGGGAAGUGUAGCCAGAUGCAAGCGUCUGACUCAGCAAAAAGCAGAUGGGGAGACGUGUAGUGAUUUGCCCGUGAUUUCUAGCCUGCUGCUUAAGCCAGUGGAUCAUGCCACUUCCCCAAAAGAAGCUCUCCAGACACCAUUACGAGGGAGAAAUCUUGUGAGCCUUAAGACAGAGGCUAUGCAGAAUGGCCCAGGCUAGAUCAGGAGCGCGGUGCCUCGGGCCUGCCUUACGUGAGGCUCCAGAUUCAGAACAAAGGUUAGGGUUUGGCCCGUUAUUCUCGCCCUCCCCAACACCAGCAUCCAGGAGAACCGCCCGGGGGUGCCAAGAGGUCCCUGCCCUCCGAGCCAGCCGCCUUUCAGCACCUAGCAAGAGGAAGCCCCUGGCAGCAUGUAGGAGACGUGGAGGCUGCAGCAAAACACGCGUCUCUGAAAGCUAAACCUGUUAUUAUCAGCUACGGAGAACUGCCUGUUAUUAUUAUUACUCCGCCGUACGCCUGUCAGCAUCGCGCUGUCGCGGCUCCUUCCUGCUCCCAGGCAGCGGUGCUGCUAAGGGGAACCCGUUUGCUGACAGCAAGCCGGUAACCCUCUUGCUGCUGGACAAAACCGCACCUGGGGUCCCAGGAGAAAGGGCCUGAUCCACUGCUGGCCCUCACCUUAUGCAGGGGUCAUUGACACCUGUUCAACGGGCGUUGCAGGAACUCGGCUCCUACCGGUCUGCGAGUGCCCGGGCUGGUGCGGCUGUGUUUUCUACCCAGUUCGCGCUGGUCUGGCCUAGUGUGCACAAGGAUGGGGAAUCAGGGUGACGGAGCCGUUCCCAUCCUCUGCCCCUGUAUGUCACUCCAGCAGCAUACAGAGGCAAGAA